CAGCCGCCGCGGUAAUACGUAGGGGGCAAGCGUUAUCCGGAUUUACUGGGUGUAAAGGGAGCGCAGACGGCAGUGCAAGUCUGAAGUGAAAGGCGUGGGCUCAACCCAUGAACUGCUUUGGAAACUGUAUAGCUUGAGUGUCGGAGGGGUAAGCGGAAUUCCUAGUGUAGCGGUGAAAUGCGUAGAUAUUAGGAGGAACACCGGAGGCGAAGGCGGCUUACUGGAUGACAACUGACGUUGAGGUUCGAAGGCGUGGGGAGCAAACAGGAUUAGAUACCCGCGUAGUCCCUGUCUCUUAUAC
rnacentral:rRNA from 1 species